CCUACGGGAGGCAGCAGUGAGGAAUAUUGGUCAAUGGACGAGAGUCUGAACCAGCCAAGUAGCGUGAAGGAUGACUGCCCUAUGGGUUGUAAACUUCUUUUAUAAAGGAAUAAAACGAGGCACGUGUGCCUUUUUGCAUGUACUUUAUGAAUAAGGAUCGGCUAACUCCGUGCCAGCAGCCGCGGUAAUACGGAGGAUCCGAGCGUUAUCCGGAUUUAUUGGGUUUAAAGGGAGAGUAGAUGGGUUGUUAAGUCAGUUGUGAAAGUUUGCGGCUCAACCGUAAAAUUGCAAUUGAUACUGGCAGUCUUGAGUACAGUUGAGGUAGGCGGAAUGCGUGGUGUAGCGGUGAAAUGCUUAGAUAUCACGAAGAACCCCGAUUGCGAAGGCAGCUUACUAAACUGUGACUGACAUUGAUGCUCGAAAGUGUGGGGAUCAAACAGGAUUAGAUACCCGUGUAGUC
rnacentral:rRNA from 1 species